rnacentral:lncRNA from 1 species
GACAACAGAACCUAUGAUGAAAUGAGUCUGAUUCAGGAUGACAUUGACCUCCGUGACACUCGGAGGCACUGUGACAAGGGGAACCUGCGUGUCAAGCCCCGUCAGGGCACAGCAGUCUUCUGGUACAACUACCUGCCUGAUGGGCAAGGUUGGGUGGGCGAUGUGGACGACUACUCGCUGCACGGGGGCUGCCUGGUCACACGCGGAACUAAAUGGAUUGCCAACAACUGGAUCAACGUGGACCCCAGCCGGGCGCGGCAGGCGCUCUUCCAGCAGGAGAUGGCGCGCCUGGCCCGCGAAGGUGGCGCCGACUCGCAGCCGGAGUGGGCCCUGGACAGGGCCUACCGCAACGCGCGUGUGGAGCUCUGAGGGGAGUGUCCACCCUGAGGUCGGGGCCCUGCCGUCCCUCUGUCUAGCCGCAGGUCAAAGGCCUGGCCAUUGUCUUGCCCCAUCCCUGCCUCCAGCCACGAUUAGGACAUAGCUCCUAUAUCAAUGUUAUUUAUUGUGUACAGACCUAUG